UCCAGCCUUAGGAGCAAGAGAGGAGGCUUCAUGGGCACCAGCCAGAUCUUUUAAUAACUUCAACUUGAGCUACCCUUCUGCUCAAAGACCUCAAUGGCUCCCCCAAGCCCCUUUGUCAUUAAAGUCUUUCACUGUA